rnacentral:lncRNA from 1 species
UGGAGCUUGCUGGUUACAUGAUGGAUUCACAGUGCAGGCUUGCUAAACUGAGCACCCAAACACAUGUGCCAAACCAGGUCCCUUGCUAGCGCACCCACGCGCACCUAGGCACCCCUGCCACUCCAUGCUCCUCGCCCUUUUCACUCGUUGCAGGUGGAUGAAAUGCUCCAUGCGCCCUUUGCAUGCAUCCACGCAUACCGUACAUACACAUAUAGCUCUAACACACUUCCCAUGCAUCUGCAUUGCUUGCCCUCUCCAUCCCCUCCAGCGCCUCCCCCACCUCGAACGUGGCAUACCCUUAACCCACCUCGAACGUGGCAUACCACUCCUCAGACCAUAUCGUACGUCAUUUGCACUAGGUUACUACUGCAAUUAAGAACGCCCGCACGUAAGAACAGCAAUCGCCGGUUCCAUUGCAGUAGUCGGGGCGCAUGCCGCCCGUGGAAAGGGUGGCGAAAGGUCCUUCGACUUGACGUACGUGCCGCACAGAACGCACCAGCCCUUCUCGACGCCCAUUGCAGCGAACGCCUGCAUGCACAACAGAGAACCCAAUUCAUACACCUCAGAUAACAGCAAGUAAUGGUUAGGAAUGUGGGUCGAUGACAUGCAAUCGGCACGCCACCACCAGACCGGGCGUUGUUAACCACAGGGAACUAGCCCUAUGUUGACCAUAUGCUCAUAUGAUAACGAAACACAAUGUGGGCACGGCUGUAUGCAUGCGUUUGCCCGGGGCCAGUGCAUCCCGAUGCUGCGAGCUGACAUUGACGAGUGUGGUGGGAACGAAUGCGUACGUAGACCAGAGCGGACGGCGGAGUGGGCUUGGCUGGCGUGCCGUAGGUGCGCUCGGCCCUCCAUCCAGUCAAUCGGCAUCCUGAGUAUACUAGAAAUAGCGGAACGAGCCAAGGCAAACAAUUUAUGACGUGCAAGGAAUGUUGCAUGGCGCCCCGAGUUCGAAACUGCAUUGGUUAACUGCAGUGCGCUGCAGGUGCCAUGAUCCCUGGUGUUGAUGCAUGUGGUGCUGGUAGCGGGUACCAAAAGCUGGCCCCUCUGCACCCGGACCCCCGCUUCAAACUGCGAGCUAAAAUCCUGGACGCGCGGGCAACGCUUUGCAGAUUUCGUCCGUGACCACCUCGUUGAUAUGGUAUAGGUAAUAGCGGAAAGGCUUGAUACAGGUAUAAGAAGCAGCAGAGCGUUAAAAUGUGAAGCAACCAAAGCCAGCGACGCCUCAGAUGAUAUGCCCGAUGCGCUAGGCUAAAUAUAGGAGCAAAGGAUAGCCCAUAUCAUUCAUCGGAACAAGACUAAGGGCGGUGCCGGCGACCCUACCGUCAGAGCAGAGCCCUCCAGCGCCCAGAGCAGCCAACAGCGACCGCCUUGUCCGCUUCGCUCCAUCUACUUCGUAACACUUCUAGAUGGUCACCUGGCGCACCGGGCGCUGCAUCGAGGCCGGAAAUGCGGUAAUGCUGUUCACAUGGUCAAGUUUCGUCAAAGGCCAGUAAACUAGUCGCCCGGCGCGCCAGGGGUCUUCUAUGGGGUACUCCUUAUAGGUCUAUGCAAAGAAAUCGGGCCGGGGCCUGGUCGCAACUGGGAAUUGGGGGCGGUUGCCGACCGUUACCGAUCACAUGGGCCGAGUUGGCCACCCCGCACCCCUGACUUGCGUCGUGUAAUUGCAAGUCUUGGCCGAUCUCACCACCAUUUGCCCCGCCGCACUUAAGGGCUUCUUCUCUGGGUGCCGAGCCGUGUCUCACCACACGGAGACGGAUGCUAUCAUACAAUUUCUCGACCUUGCGCGGGCCUUUCACGCGCCUUGUGUUCAUCUAGGCAAAGCGUCGUCCACCGCUUUGACCUGAGCGCCACAUGGCUACCUGGGCAAGGUGAUUUAAAUGGAUUGAAAAUGCCGCGACUAUGCUGUGGCGUAAUUGCAGAGUUGUAGAUUGCACCAGCGCUUUGCAGCGGCUGUGCGUGGCUAGCAGACCCCGUGUUACUGGGGUUUUAUUUUGCUCCGCGGUCGCUAUGCCGCAACACGCGCUUGCCAAACCCUAUCGCGAACUUCGCGUUUCCUCAAGCUCCUAAGACCGCCCCAAUGCCUUUGCGACCUCUCUUGUGAUUUGACAUCGCUUUCGUUGCAUCCGAUAGGCCAUGGAUGCAGUACCUCGGGCCCUUUAC